rnacentral:rRNA from 1 species
UACGGGAGGCAGCAGUGGGGAAUAUUGCACAAUGGGCGCAAGCCUGAUGCAGCCAUGCCGCGUGUAUGAAAAAGGCCUUCGGGUUGUAAAGUACUUUCAGUCGUGAGGAAGGUGUUAAGGUUAAUAACCUUAGCAAUUGACGUUAGCGACAGAAGAAGCACCGGCUAACUCCGUGCCAGCAGCCGCGGUAAUACGGAGGGUGCGAGCGUUAAUCGGAAUUACUGGGCGUAAAGGGCACGCAGGCGGUUAAUUAAGUUGGAUGUGAAAUCCCCGGGCUUAACCUGGGAAUGGCAUUCAAGACUGGUUAGCUAGAGUCUUGUAGAGGGGGGUAGAAUUCCAUGUGUAGCGGUGAAAUGCGUAAAGAUGUGGAGGAUACCGGUGGCGAAGGCGGCCCCUGGACAAAGACUGACGCUCAUGUGCGAAAGCGUGGGGAGCAAACAGGGAUUAGAUACC